GAUCCUGGCUCAGAAUCAACGCUGGCGGCGUGCCUAACACAUGCAAGUCGAACGCGAAAGUGGAGCAAUCCAUGAGUAGAGUGGCAAACGGGUGAGUAACACGUGGGUGACCUGCCUUAGAGUGGGGGAUAACGUCCCGAAAGGGACGCUAAUACCGCAUAACAUGCUGCCUUUUAAGAGGUGGACAUCAAAGCCGGGGACCGCAAGGCCUGGCGCUUGAAGAGGGGCCCGCGCCUGAUUAGCUAGUUGGUGGGGUAAUGGCUCACCAAGGCAACGAUCAGUAUCCGGCCUGAGAGGGCGGACGGACACACUGGGACUGAGACACGGCCCAGACUCCUACGGGAGGCAGCAGUGGGGAAUUGUUCGCAAUGGGCGCAAGCCUGACGACGCAACGCCGCGUGGAGGAUGAAGAUCUUCGGGUUGUAAACUCCUUUCGAUCGAGACGAAUGGCCCUUGGGCUAACAUCCCGAGGGAGUGACGGUACCGAGAGAAGAAGCCCCGGCUAACUCCGUGCCAGCAGCCGCGGUAAUACGGGGGGGGCAAGCGUUGUUCGGAAUUACUGGGCGUAAAGGGCUCGUAGGCGGCCAACUAAGUCAUACGUGAAAUCCCUCGGCUUAACCGGGGAACUGCGUAUGAUACUGGAUGGCUUGAGUUCGGGAGAGGGAUGCGGAAUUCCAGGUGUAGCGGUGA
rnacentral:rRNA from 1 species